ACAGUCUCCCACCUGCACGCCGGAGAACCAGGACAGCAGGUGGUGCAUUCAGGCCGUUAGAAACCUGAGAACCAGGAGCGGCCAACGUCUCUGGGCAGGAGAGGGAAGUCUGGGCUCAGGCAGAGGCCAUUCGCCCUCCUUCUGCCUUUCUCUAUCCAGGCCCUCAGCCUGGCUGCUGCCCACCCACACUGGUGGGAGCAAGCUUCACUCAGACUAACAAUUCAAAUGCUAAUCCCUUCCGGACACAGCCUCACAGACACACUCUGAAGUGAGGUUUUCCCAGCUGUCUGGGCCUCCCUGGGCCCAGGCGGGUUGACAUGUAAAUUACCCAUCACGGUGGGGCGCGGGCGGGGAGAUUGCUCUCCCGGCUCUGAAGCCUCAGUCUCAAGGACGCGUCCCCGCCGUGCACACCGAGGCGUGCACCCGGGUGGGGAGUGCCCUCCCCUGUGCACACAGUGGGGAGUGAGGUGGCUGCACGCCAAGUGGGGAGUGGGGGAGCACGGCGGGGGAGGGGGACCGCUGCCGCAAUGCGCGCUUUCCUGGGAGCCCAGAUGGAGAGGGGGCGCCGAGCGCGCGCGCCGCGGGCUGUGCUUGCGCGCCCCCGCCUGGGGCUAUAAAAGCCUCAUCACCUGCGGCCACUGAGCUUCCAGUGGUCGGGAGAAGCCAGUUCACCCUCUCCAGCGCCAUCUCCGCUCGACAUGGACCCUGAGACCUGCCCCUGUCCUACUGGAGGGUCCUGCACCUGCGCUGGCGCCGACUCCUGCAAGUGCGAGGGAUGCAAAUGCACCUCCUGCAAGAAAAGCUGCUGCUCCUGCUGCCCGCCUGAGUGCGAAAAAUGCACCAAGGAUUGUGUGUGCAAAGGCGGAGAGGGGCCGGGGGCUGAGGCUCAGAAGUGCAGCUGCUGCGAUUGAGAUGAGGACCUGCCCCUCCAGGAAACACGUGUAAAUAGUGCUGAGUGGCCCAGUGCCACCUUCCCUGCUUGGCUGUGUGUCCCCCACUCCUGCAAGUGACAAUAAAGCCUAUGAAUGGCAUAA